UCUGGUUAAAAUAGCUCUGUGGUACAACCUGAUUCCAUGCCGAACUCAGAAGUGAAACGCAUCAGCGCCGAUGGUAGUGUGGGGUUUCCCCAUGUGAGAUUAGGACAUCACCAGAC
rnacentral:rRNA from 1 species